UUUUCUUCCUAUCCAAAAUCCUCUCAAACUCUCCAACUCUCCAAAAAAAAAAAAAAAAAAAAAGGUGUUAUAGGAGGGACUUGACAUGGAUGCAACGAGAAAUUAUCAAUGAGCCGAGGAAGAGUUGUGUUGAUGUGGUGGUUUUCCUAGCAAGACAAAAUGGUGUUUGUCAUCAUAUCGGAGACUACUUUCAAGCAACAUAUAUUAUUCAGAGGGUGAGUGCCCAUCAUCUACUUCCACAUUGUGGAGUGGCAAUAGCUUGAACAGAUGAAAUUCUAGUUUGGAUUCGUCCAAGAAACUUCAAUAGAGCCCCAAAACAUCAAGAGGUGCAUACAAUCUUGGGAAGUGAGUUCGAGAACCAUUAGAAGCAAAAUAUUGAGUCAAAUUCAAGCAAAACACAGAAUAGGAGAGCAAGGAUGUGUAAGCCGCGGCCUAGAAAUCUAACACUAUAGCAAACCCAAGCCUUGACUCGAAAAUUUUAAAGCAUUUGGUUCCACAAUGCGAGAGCUCAUGAGUCCCAACACCGACGCACGUUUGUGAAGGCAAAAUUGGCAUUCUAACUUCGAAAAGCAAAGUUCUCACCAACCAUACAAAAGGCUCCGUAUGAUAGAUCUAAGAAGGCAAAAAAUGCAUUGGACAACAGGGCAUGCACUGUGGGUUGAGCUUCAAGACCAACGAGCUAAGGAGAGCAUAUAUAGGGAAUUAUCCAUAACAAUAAUUUUCGAGCCAUUGAAGUAUAUGAGCAAUAGUUCAGCCAGAUGGCCCACCUAAAAAUAUUAUUGUACGUAAAAAUAUCCUAACUUAAUAAUUUCAGUUUUUUUAUAUGUAAUGAUAUUUUUUAAAUUGUAUUUACGUUUACCGAUCAAAUUUCAAAAUUAUUGAGUUAGGAUAUUUUCAAUUUAAAUAA